AGAGUUAAAUAGUACGUGAAAUUGUCAAAAGGGAAACGCUUGAAACCAGUAUUGCUUGCAGGUAAUCAGCCACACGUUCAGUGUGGUGCACUUGCCUGCCGGCAGGUCAACAUCAGUUUGAUUUGGGGUAAAAAGCCAGUGGAAGGUAGCCCAGAGCUUGCUUUGGGUGUUAUAGCCUCUGGUCCUGCCCUGGAUUGGACUGAGGACUGCAGCGUUUUUUGGGUACCCGGUCGCCUCUUGAAACCGGCUUGCAGACAGCAUGCUGACUGUGAGUUUGACGUAGGGAGCCCGGUCGGUUUGCCACACCAACGCUUGGGAUGUUGACGAAAUGGUUUUAAACGACC
rnacentral:rRNA from 1 species